rnacentral:rRNA from 1 species
ACCGGUGACUGAUCCCAUGCGAAACCCCUUCGACGAGUCGAGUUGUUUGGGAAUGCAGCUCAAAAUGGGUGGUAAAUUUCAUCUAAAGCUAAAUACUGGCUGGAGACCGAUAGCGCACAAGUAGAGUGAUCGAAAGAUGAAAAGCACUUUGGAAAGAGAGUCAAAAAGUACGUGAAAUUGUUGAAAGGGAAGCGCUUGCAACCAGACCUGUCCGUGGGUGAUCAGCCGCCGUUCUCGGUGGUGCACUCGCCUACGAUCAGGCCAGCAUCGGUUCGGGCGGCCGGACAAAGGCCUUGGGAAUGUAGCUCCUCUCGGGGAGUCUUAUAGCCCUCGGUGCAAUGUGGCCAGCCCGGACCGAGGACCGCGCUUCGGCUAGGAUGCUGGCGUAAUGGUUGUAAGCGACCCGUCUUGAAACACGGACCAAGGAGUCUAACAUCUAUGCGAGUGUUUGGGUGUUAAACCCAUACGCGGAAUGAAAGUGAACGGAGGUGAGAACCCUUUAGGGCGCAUCAUCGACCGAUCCAGAUGUCUUCGGAUGGAUUUGAGUAUGAGCAUAGCUGUUGGGACCCGAAAGAUGGUGAACUAUGCCUGAAUAGGGUGAAGCCAGAGGAAACUCUGGUGGAGGCUCGCAGCGGU